UACGUAGGUGACCAGCGUUGUCCGGAUUUACUGGGCGUAAAGAGCGCGCAGGCGGUCGUUCAAGUCGAGGGUGAAAGCCCCCGGCUCAACUGGGGAGGGUCAUUCGAUACUGAUCGACUCGAAGGCAGGAGAGGGAAGUGGAAUUCCCGGUGUAGUGGUGAAAUGCGUAGAUAUCGGGAGGAACACCAGUGGCGAAGGCGACUUCCUGGCCUGUUCUUGACGCUGAGGCGCGAAAGCUAGGGGAGCAAACGGG
rnacentral:rRNA from 1 species